rnacentral:rRNA from 1 species
CCUACGGGGGGCAGCAGUGAGGAAUAUUGGUCAAUGGCCGUAAGGCUGAACCAGCCAAGUAGCGUGAGGGAAGACUGCCCUAUGGGUUGUAAACCUCUUUUGUCGGGGAGCAAAAGCCGGACGUGUCCGGCUGUGAGAGUACCCGAAGAAAAAGCAUCGGCUAACUCCGUGCCAGCAGCCGCGGUAAUACGGAGGAUGCGAGCGUUAUCCGGGUUUAUUGGGUUUAAAGGGUGCGCAGGCGGAUUUUUAAGUCAGCGGUCAAAGCGUGGGGUUCAACCCCAUCCAGCCGUUGAAACUGGGGAUCUAGAGUGUGCGAGAGGUAUGCGGAAUGCGUGGUGUAGCGGUGAAAUGCAUAGAGAUCACGCAGAACCCCGAUUGCGAAGGCAGCAUACCGGUGCACAACUGACGCUCAGGCACGAAAGCGUGGGUAUCGAACAGGAUUAGAUACCCUUGUAGUC